rnacentral:rRNA from 1 species
CAAGUCGAACGCAAAUAGCAAUAUUUGAGUGGCGCACGGGUGAGUAACACGUAGCUUACCUCCCCCCAAGCGCGGGAUAACGGUUCGAAAGAGCUGCUAAUACCGCAUAAGCUCACGGUCUGUAGAGGGCUGCGAGAAAAGGAGCAAUUCACUUGGGGACGGGGCUGCGGCCCAUCAGCUAGAUGGUGAGGUAAAGGCUUACCAUGGCGACGACGGGUAGGGGACCUGAGAGGGUGACCCCCCACACUGGGACUGAGACACGGCCCAGACUCCUACGGGAGGCAGCAGUGAGGAAUAUUGCACAAUGGGCGCAAGCCUGAUGCAGCGACGCCGCGUGAGUGAAGAAGGCCUUCGGGUCGUAAAGCUCUUUUCUGCGUGACGAGCAAGGACGGUAGCGCAGGAAUAAGUCUCGGCUAACUACGUGCCAGCAGCCGCGGUAAAACGUAGGAGACAAACGUUAUCCGGAGUUACUGGGCGUAAAGGGCGUGUAGGCGGUUGGUUAAGUCUGGCGUGAAAGCUCUCGGCUAAACCGGGAGAGGUCGUUGGAUACUGGCCGACUAGAGGACGGUAGAGGCGUGUGGAAUUCCGGGUGUAGUGGUGAAAUGCGUAGAGAUCCGGAGGAACACCAGUGGCGAAGGCGACACGCUGGGCCGUACCUGACGCUAAAGCGCGACAGCAUGGGUAGCAAACGGGUUUAGAAACCCCGGUAGUCCAUGCCGUAAACGAUGCCAGCUAGGUGUUCAGGGGGCGCAAGCCGUCGGGGUACCGCAGCUAACGCGAUAAGCUGGCCGCCUGGGGAGUAC